AGUGAACGCUGGCGGUAGGCCUAACACAUGCGAGUCGAACGGCAGCACAGUAAGAGCUUGCUCUUACGGGUGGCGAGUGGCGGACGGGUGAGGAAUACAUCGGAAUCUACUUUUUCGUGGGGGAUAACGUAGGGAAACUUACGCUAAUACCGCAUACGACCUACGGGUGAAAGCAGGGGAUCUUCGGACCUUGCGCGAUUGAAUGAGCCGAUGUCGGAUUAGCUAGUUGGCGGGGUAAAGGCCCACCAAGGCGACGAUCCGUAGCUGGUCUGAGAGGAUGAUCAGCCACACUGGAACUGAGACACGGUCCAGACUCCUACGGGAGGCAGCAGUGGGGAAUAUUGGACAAUGAGCGCAAGCCUGAUCCAGCCAUACCGCGUGGGUGAAGAAGGCCUUCGGGUUGUAAAGCCCUUUUGUUGGGAAAGAAAAGCAGCAGGUUAAUACCCCGCUGUUCUGACGGUACCCAAAGAAUAAGCACCGGCUAACUUCGUG
rnacentral:rRNA from 1 species